GGUGAUGGUGUCCAUCUUCUUCUCUCUUGUUUCAAGGUUUUUCCAGAGAGGCGGGAGGAAGGAAGGGGGCAGGGGAGGGGAGUGUGGUCGUUUCAAAGGUGUGAGUGUGAGCUCUGGUGUGUGUUUGUUGUUAAGAAGGUGUGAGCCCGGAGGUGGCGGUGGGGUUUCUGUUUAGGCGCCCUCGACGGCGAGGCGGGAUCGGGAGAAGCCGCGGGAGCGGCGGUUGUUGGAGAGGCCCCUCUGUUGCAUGCACCAACGCGCAGCCCGGAAACCUCCCGACGCCGCCCGCGGCUGCGAAGGAGGAUCGGAGGAGGAGGUUCCAACUUCCGACGACCGAACGACCAGGGAGUGGGGCGCCAAGAGUGUGUUGUGUGUGCUGUGCGGUUGCUC
rnacentral:lncRNA from 1 species